UUAGUAAUGGUAACGGUUCU
rnacentral:miRNA from 1 species